GACAUAAAGGGAUUGAGAAUGGCCCUGGAAGAGUCGGGAACCAAUGGGGACAGACUGCACAAAGAGAGUGAACUGGUUGUGCAGAAUGUAAACACCUGGUUACAGGAACAAAAGAAUAGGCCAUGAAAAGGAGGUUGAUGUUGAGAAAUUGCCAGAUGCAGUUCCUUGUGGCAACUUCAAACCUACAGUACUAUAGGAGGGGGCAACAAUUACCACUAUUAACCUAGAAACUAGUGACCUAAUUUGAAAUUGGAGUAUGCCACAAACAUCCCACACAAAGCUGCAUAAUACACAAAUUGCUGUAACAUAGAUAUCUGUGUCAUGACUAAAAGGAAAUUUCACCAGCGGCACAAAGGAUCACUGGGAUUGCAUGGAAGAUUCAGACACUAUGACUGUAAAAAGCACAAUAGUCCAACACAUCGGUACCUGGUAUUCAGUCGGUAGUUACAGAAAUUGUGUAUUUGGCUUGAAAAGAUCCUAAAGUGAUUUUCCAAAAUGGAAGACAGCUUGAUUUUCCAGUUCUUGUCUCAGCAUCACCAUGCACAAAAAUAAACACUUCAGCGGUGUUUCUUAGUGUAUUCUUUUACCAGUGUUCUGGAAAUUGUUCCCUAAACCAGUCACACUAACAAUAAAUUCUUGCUAUGAUACUACUUGGUAUCUGGUACAAUGCCUAUAGCUGACAGACAUAUUUAUUAUGAAAAACUGGGACGGCCUGCGAAAGGUUACAUACGUUAAGAGGAUAUUAGAAGAUGGAGGCAUUUUUCAAGCAAUGACUUACGUUAUGAAGUAAAGUUGUAGCUUUUUGUUUAAAAUGUGAAAAUCCUAUCCUUUAAUACUCAUGACAAAUUUGGUACCAAAAUUUUCAUUAUCUUGAGUAGAAAAUAAUAAUUGUGAUUGGAAAUUUAAAUUGUGUUACGUAACUCUAUACAUGUACUAGUAAUCUUUAAUACAAUGUCAUUUUGUCUAUAAUUCUUCAUCUUUGUACAGUGGUUACAAAUUUUAAAACAGUUGAGAAAUAGGUUACAAGUGACUCAAAACAAAGUUGUCGGGUUUAUUUGUGGUUAUAUCAAAGAUACUGAAAAGUCAGUUUUUUAUACUGGCUGGCUAAAUAUUGAAAACAGAGUUAAACAUUUAAGACUGAAUCAUGUUCACAAAAUCUUUGAAAAAGUUGUCCAGCUUGUUUGCAUAAUAAUUUUCUUCUUGUCUCUAAGAAAGUCUUAUAAUUGUAGACAGUGUUAACAGAUUUCAUGUACCUCAGUUUCCCCGUCUGCUACUUUUUAUUAUCAAGCUAUCAUUUAGUUGUAAAAAAAAAAUUGUUUGUUUCCGGUAUCCCAACGUACCCUAAAUUUCUGGCCCAACCCUAAAUGUUUUUGACCUUGGAGAACAUUUUUUUUUUUUUUUUCAAUUUUUUUGACAAAAAGUUGCAAAACUGCACUUUUUAUGCUUUAAACAUAGUCAGUGAUGUUAUAAAUCAACUUACUGAUGCUCUAGAGGCAUAACCCCUAUUUGUAUACAUUUUUUGACACAAAAAUAAUUUCCUAAAAGUCUCCCUUAAUAAUCAAAGAAAAAUCCAAAAAAAAGUUUUUCCAACCUACCUACCCUAACCUUUUUUGCAUGUUACUGGAAACAAAGAAUUUAUUUUUUAGGCCUUACUGGAAUAGCCUUCCUGAUAACAUAAAACUUAAAAAGAAAACAGUCAAAAUGGAGCUCAUUUAAUGAAUGAAAAUUGCUAAGUAAUCAGAUUUUAUUUUUUAUUAAUUGUAUCAUAUUGUUUUAUAAUAAGGUGUGGAAUAUUCCUGCUUUGUGUUGUGUUAAGGAAUGUCAGAAUGUAACUGUGAUAUUAGUUAGGUAACUCUUGUACAGCUUAUCGUUUAUGCCAGUAACAGUUGUCGUUCCUGAUGAUGUACACAAGGACCUCUGUUGGGUUUUUAGCUCACAUGAGCACAAAGUGCUCAAGGUGAGCUUUUGUGAUCGCCCUGUGUCCGUUGUCAUCCUUUCGUCAGUCAUCAACAGUUUGACUGUUAACACUCUAGAGGUAACAGUUUUGACCUAAUCUUAAUGAAACUUGGUCAGAAUGUUACCUGCAAUAAAAUCUUAGACGAGUUCGAUAUUGGGUCAUCUGGGAUAAAAAACUAGGUCACCUGGUCAAAUCAAACGAAAAGCUUGUCAACACUAUAGAGGUCACAAUUUUGGCCCAAUCUUAAUGAAACUUGGUCAAAAUGUUACCCUCAAUAAAAGCUUGGAGAGUUCGAUAUCGGGUCAUCUUGGGCCAAAAACUAGGUCGCCAGGUCAAAUCAAAGGAAAAGCUUGUUAACACUCUAGAGGUCACAAUUUUGGCCCAAUCUUAAUGAAACUCGGUCAGAAUUUUACCCUCAAUAAAACCUUGAACAAGUUCGAUAUUGGGUCAUCUGGGGUCAAAAACUAGGUCACCAGGUCAGAUCAAAGGAAAAUCUUGUUAACACUCAAAAGGUCACAAUAUUGGCCCAAUCUUAAUGAAACUUGGUCAGAAUGUUACCCACAAUAAAAUCUUGGAAGUUUGAUAUUGGAUCAUCUAGGGUCAAAAUAUAGGUGAUCAGGUUAAAUCAAAGGAAAAGGUUUUUAACACUGUAGAGGCCAGAUUUAUGACUGUAUCUUCAUGAAACAUAGAAUGUUAUUCUUGAUAAUCUCAAGGUCCAGUUUGAAUCUGAGUCAUGUAGGGUCAAAAACUAGUUCACUAGGUCAAAUCGAAGGAAAAGCUAGUUAACACUCUACACUCUAGAGGCCACAUUUAUGACCAUAUAUAUAAUUAGGAACAGACUUUAUGCCGAAUGUUAAAGCUUUCUUUUGCAGUCAGUGCAAGAUUUUUGAUUUGUGGGACAAGAAAUUUUUAUCUUAGCUCUAGAAGUACAGCCAUCAUUAGAAAUAAAAUGUAAUGGUACGAAAUUACCUUUGUUUGACAAUGAGAUGUGAAACCAAAAUUUGUAGUCCUGUUUGGCGCCAUAUAACCUAUACUGUGUUGGUGCGCCGUAAAACCCAAAUAAAAUAAAGACAAUGUCGAAGAAAAAUAUCCGAGCAUAUGAGAUAGAUUCACCAUGGCAGAUUAUGUAAAAUUAAUAUGAUGAGCAGGAUAGUGGUUGCAAUAAAAUCUUGUUGUUGUGGUCUGUGUCUAGGGAGGUAGGGGGCAUAAAAAGAGUUUAUAAUAAUAUUAUAGGAUGAAUUUCGUGCUCUAUAAUAAUUUUAUUUCAUUAAUUACUAGAUCUUUCAUGGUACUUCUUAAUUGAUUUUCAUUACCUAGUGAGUAAUGCUUCAGUAAAUUUGGUUAAUUGAAGUGACAUUUGAUACAAUUCUAUUUUAAGAAUUGCCAUGUUAAAAGUGUCAGGCAAUGAAAAAGUGUCAGUAUGUAGUUUUCCGCCACUGUAAUCUUCGUUUAACAAACUGAAAGGAAAUAUCAGCCAUUGUUGCUACAUAUAUAUAUAAUACAUUUUCAUUAACUAGCUCAUACUUCAUAGGGAUGGCCUCCUUGCAUAGCUUUUCUUCCAUGUGCAGACUCUGAAUCUGUUGUAAGGUGUAUGUAAUACUUAUACUAAGAGAUUUAUAAAGAAAGCUGUCUGCCAAUGUUUGUAGCCUCAACAUUCAUCACUUUCAGUGACAACUCUAGUUUAUUUUGUUAAUGCUUGUAGCCAGGUUGGUUUCAACAAAAUCCAUGAGCAACAGAGUAC